UGGGGAGCGGCGGGCAGUCCAAGACCCACUUUGCGCCUGUGCAGGGCCUCUCCUGUCCCGCCUGGCUUACAGUGGAGCCUCAGGUGGCUGCGCUCGCUGCUGGCCAGCGGAGGCGUUGCGGUAGGGACUCGGCAGUGCCUCUGACCGGCCUUGCGCUCUUGUCCGGAAGCACGGCCACCAGGAUCUCACGACAUCGGGGCUUUAACCCAGCGAGGGAGGGCGGGUAUUAUUAAAGCAGUGAUCAACAAAUCAAACUCAAUCCCCCAGCUCCCAAAGCCGGGGCCACUUCUGUAUUGGUGGUCUGGGGUUCCCCAGCCCCUACAGAGCCUAAGGAAGAGUGGAUGUCGGCAAGUGCUUGUUGAAUGACUACAUAAAUGAGAAAAGACCGAUGUGCUCACAUUGGGCCACCUGGACCACCCAGGACCACUGCCCCAUCUCAAGACCCCUAACUUGGGCACAUCUGCAAAGCCCCUUGGCCAGGAUUUGGCUCAACUUUCGCCUUAUCUGAAGGUCUUGCCAGGCCUACCCAGGCCUCUCUGUCCCCUUUAGGUAUUGUAGCCUUUAUCACCCUUGACUCAGUCUGCCCUCCUUUGUUGGCUUCUUGUCCAUUUUCCCCCAGCAGAAUGUCAGUCCCUGUAUCUGUCCUGCUCACUGCUA